UUUGAUUAAGUCACAAUGGAACAUAUGUACAAUUCAUGGUUCAUGUCUUUUUAUAAACUAGUUCAGUUCAAUUUUUCUUCCCCUCCUCUGCCUCUUUCCUCUCCCUCUUCUCUAUCUUUACUCUACCUCCACCUCCUUUACCCCCUUCACCUGCUCUUUCUUAUUUUCCUCCUUUGAUCCCUCUACCUCCUCCUAUUGAAUCUUAGAUUUUGAUGAUAAAAUCAAUCAAUAAAAUUUAAUGAAUUAAUAUUCUUUUAAGAUAAGUGAU
rnacentral:lncRNA from 1 species